rnacentral:rRNA from 1 species
GCCUGGCCCUAAAUCUCGAUACUUACACCACCCAAGUAUCCGCCCGAGAACUACGAGCGCAAACGCUUAAAACUCUAAGGACUUGGCGGUACCCUAAACCCACCUAGAGGAGCCUGUUCUAUAAUCGAUAAUCCACGAUAAACCCAACCACCCCUCGCCCAGCACCAGCCUACAUACCGCCGUCCCCAGCCCACCUCGAAUGAGAGCACAACAGUGGGCAAAAUAGCACCCCCCCCGCUAACAAGACAGGUCAAGGUAUAGCCCAUGGGAUGGAAGAAAUGGGCUACAUUCUCUAAGAUUAGAGCACCACGAAAAGAAGCGUGAAAUCGCUUCUGGAAGGAGGAUUUAGCAGUAAAAUAGGAUAAUAAAGCCUAUUUUAAGCCGGCCCUGGGGUACGU